UGGGAAUUGAACUCAGGACCUCUGGAAGAGCAGCCAGUGCUCUUAACCUCUGAGCCAUCUCUCCAGCCCAAGCUUAAAAUUUUUAUUGCUUAUUAUUUACUGUCUUAGUUAUUUAGAAUGACUUGAUAACAUCAGCUGUGGGGAUUUUUUUUCCCCCCCUUUUAAGUUCUGAGGAUCAAAUCUAGAGCAUUGAUUGAUAGGCAACCAUUCUGUUACUCAGCUCCACCCAUGGUCUCCUUUUUAAAUUAACCUUGUGAUAGAUAUUUAAAAGUCUAAAUAGAUUGCGUGUACUGACUUCCUUCCUAUGACAGGUAUUUAUCUUCCUGAAGCAUACUUGAUUGUUGUUUGUAUUCUCUUGAGGUACCCACAUAGUCUGUUUUGUUUUUAGUGAUCUUUCCCUUAUGUAUUUAAUUAUGUAAUUAAGUAUUUAGUGGUAUUUGAAUGAUGAAUUGUUUGGGGGAUCAACUUGUAGAAAUCCAGUGUUUUGGUAUAGUAGCCCUUUUCAGACAGUUACUCCUUGCUAAUCGCCUCCCCGUGACACAACUGAAACAUUUGAGCACGUUUGGACUUGGCUUUGAGACCUUUCUGUAAAUAACUUACGUGGUGAUGACUUGGCUUUAUCGCCAGCGCAGACGGGUGACCCUAAAGCCACAGAAGCUGUAAACAUGACUCAGGAGCUGUAGGACUGCAGGAUGGGAGCCAGCAGUUUAAUGCAAUCUUCUCACUCUGAACCUAGCUGUGUGGAAAGGUCAAAGGUUACAAGCAAAAGAACGAUCGAGAUGAGCCAAACUCAGCCCUGGAUUCAAAUAAACUUCUAGCUUAGAUUUAGAACAUUCUCUAGCAUCAAUAGCCUUUGAUCCAGUUUUUUUUCCCAACCUGCCCAUUUUAAAAAUGACAUUUAUGAGUGGAAAUUUCCCUAGUUUCUUGUAAGGGUGCCCAGCCUGCCAUUUCCACAGAAUGUUACAAAAAGAAAUGACAACUGGUGGUCAGGGAAUGUCAGUUCUGGGUGGCCAGCGGGCAGUAAACAGAGAUUUGAGGAGGAAAGGCUCUAUAAGCUGUUUUUCUCAACUGGUGAGGGAGGUGAUUCUGAUCCUGCUGCUUGGUUAAUGAGUCAUGUGCCUGAGGGCAAAACUUGCAACAGGGAAGGGCCUAGUCUGGCCACAAACUGAAGCACCAAUGAGCAGAUAAGUAUUUUCCUGGCACUUUACCUGAAUGUUUCAGAGGCAACUAUCCCUGAACAAAGCAAAUGGAAACUCGGGGAGUAGGAGCCAGUCUGUGUGUGCACUAAUAUGGAAAUUCUAAAUCUGCUCGAAGACCAAGGGGCUCCCAAACACCGAGGAGAAAGUUCAGACUGUUCAGGGAAGGUAGCCAAGAUCAACAGCCCAUUAGCUAUGGAAGAGCCGAGUCACCGAAAAACUUCAGGCCACUAUAGGAGUAAGCAGUCCUGAGAGCAAAGGAAAAUAAGAUGGGACCCAUCCAGCCAAUUCUCAGGUGUUUUCUUCAGAUCAGCUUGUGAUGGAGUGAGACUGUUCACUGUUGAUGCUGAAAAAAAUCUCUGAAGACCUUUGCAUUUUCACACCCUUGGUCAUGGUGUUGGUAGGCACAUUUAGUGGAGCUGGAGACUGGAAGUGACUUGCUGAAUGUCACACAGACAAUAAACUAUGAGCUACAGGGGCUAACAGCUCUCUGUUUUCCACUGAGGUUUCAGCCAGUGGCCCGUGGAAGUUUGCUGUUUUCAUAAAAGGUUGAAGGUGACUUGCCAGCAGGUAGAGAGCCUGAACAGACAGAAGAUGGGUGGCUAGGGUGUUUGAGAGAGCCGGAGGAGCUGGUGCUCACAUGCCUGCAUUUGCAAAGAAGGGUGCUGCCCUGGGUAACAGCAAAGUACUGAGGAGCCGAAGCUGCACUGCUAGAAGAUAAUGUCAAUUGGAGGGUUGCCCAUUUCAUGGGCCUUAUGAGACCAAAGUAAACCCGAAGGCUUUGUGGAAGUGUCUUCUUUAGAAGAAUCCCUUGUGUACCUAAUAAAAGACAUCCAUAUUCAUA